rnacentral:rRNA from 1 species
CUCAGGAUGAACGCUAGCGAUAGGCCUAACACAUGCAAGUCGAGGGGCAGCAUAAAUGUAGCAAUACAUUUGAUGGCGACCGGCGCACGGGUGAGUAACACGUAUGCAACCUACCUACUACAAGGGGAUAGCCCGGAGAAAUUCGGAUUAAUACCCUAUAACACAAGCGUUCCGCAUGGGAUGCUUGUUAAAGAUUUAUCGGUAGUAGAUGGGCAUGCGUUCCAUUAGGUAGUUGGCGAGGUAACGGCUCACCAAGCCUGCGAUGGAUAGGGGAACUGAGAGGUUUAUCCCCCACACUGGAACUGAGACACGGACCAGACUCCUACGGGAGGCAGCAGUGAGGAAUAUUGGUCAAUGGACGCAAGUCUGAACCAGCCAAAUCGCGUGAAGGAAGACUGCCUUAUGGGUUGUAAACUUCUUUUAUAAGGGAAUAAAAAGAGAUACGUGUAUCUUAUUGCAUGUACCUUAUGAAUAAGCAUCGGCUAACUCCGUGCCAGCAGCCGCGGUAAUACGGAGGAUGCGAGCGUUAUCCGGAUUUAUUGGGUUUAAAGGGUGCGUAGGCGGGAAAUAAGCGAUAAGUAAUCCACCUGGGGAGUACGCCGGCAACGGUGAAACUCAAAGGAAUUGACGGGGGCCCGCACAAGCGGAGGAACAUGUGGUUUAAUUCGAUGAUACGCGAGGAACCUUACCCGGGCUUGAAAUGUACUUGAAUAAUUUGGAAACAGAUUAGCUAGCAAUAGCCAAGUAUGUAGGUGCUGCAUGGUUGUCGUCAGCUCGUGCCGUGAGGUGUCGGCUUAAGUGCCAUAACGAGCGCAACCCACAUUAUUAGUUACUAACAGGUUGAGCUGAGGACUCUAAUAAGACUGCCAGCGUAAGCUGUGAGGAAGGUGUGGAUGACGUCAAAUCAGCACGGCCCUUACGUCCGGGGCGACACACGUGUUACAAUGGGUGGUACAAAGGGCCGCUACUGGGCGACCAGAUGCUAAUCUCUAAAACCACUCCCAGUUCGGAUCGGAGUCUGCAACUCGACUCCGUGAAGCUGGAUUCGCUAGUAAUCACGCAUCAGCCAUGGCGCGGUGAAUACGUUCCCGGGCCUUGUACACACCGCCCGUCAAGCCAUGGAAGUUGGGGGUACCUGAAGUACGUAACCGNCAAGGAGCGUCCUAGGG